rnacentral:rRNA from 1 species
GAUGAACGCUGGCGGCGUGCCUAAUACAUGCAAGUAGAACGCUGAAGGAAGGAGCUUGCUCUUUCCGGAUGAGUUGCGAACGGGUGAGUAACGCGUAGGUAACCUGCCUGGUAGCGGGGGAUAACUAUUGGAAACGAUAGCUAAUACCGCAUAACAGUAGAUGUUGCAUGAUAUCUACUUAAAAGGUGCAAUUGCACCACUACCAGAUGGACCUGCGUUGUAUUAGCUAGUUGGUGAGGUAACGGCUCACCAAGGCGACGAUACAUAGCCGACCUGAGAGGGUGAUCGGCCACACUGGGACUGAGACACGGCCCAGACUCCUACGGGAGGCAGCAGUAGGGAAUCUUCGGCAAUGGACGGAAGUCUGACCGAGCAACGCCGCGUGAGUGAAGAAGGUUGUCGGAUCGGAAAGCUCUGUUGUAAGAGAAGAACGAGUGUGAGAGUGGAAAGUUCACACUGUGACGGUAUCUGACCAGAAAGGGACGGCUAACUACGUG